AACGUAGUGCCUGAAUAAAGGAUUAUUUUGAUAGAAUAAAUCAUGUAUUAUAUACCUUCGUUA
rnacentral:tRNA from 1 species